AAUGAAGACCACAUGAAGGAGAAAUCCCACCUGCCCUGCUGCUCCUCCUGGGAAAGCUUCCUCCCCGCACCUGCCCCCCAUAUAGGGAAGGGUCAGAAAGAUGGGAACUGUGAGAUCAGAGACCGGUCUGGGAAGCGGGAAAGUGCAGGCUUUGGGUGCAGGCAGCCAGCUGCAGGAUCCUGGAGUCAGGACUUCCUUUCUUCCUGCCUCUCUGAGGAUCGAGUGGGAAAAACACCCAGCCCAGUCAGGCAGGCACAAAACAUGUGUUACCUCGAUGAUCUGUGCUGGGUGCUGGGGUGCAGUGCAGCUGGCAUAGCCUUCUGCACCCUUGAAAGCAACGUGUCCCUUGGGCUCCUUGAUGGACACUUCCCACCCUUGGCUCUUCACCUGCAAACUGACCUGUGACCAUCAUAUGAGACCCUGGGUGUGCAAAGGUGUGGCCACAACUUAGCACAUGCCAGGGUCCCACGACGAUGGUUUUCCUGUAUGAUUAACGUUGCUGUCGAUUCAGGCUCUGGACUAAGAAUAGCAGGGGGCAGCCAGCCUCCUUGGGAAAGUUUAUUUCCGUGGAAAGUAUAGUUCAGAUGAGUGAGGAUCUGGCCUCGAUUCAUCCUCCCUCCCUCACACUUAGUCAGAAACCAGGGAAGGGCCUACUGGAUGGAGGGGGAAUUGGCUCACAAGCACUGGAAGUUUGCCACUGCUCCAAGUACGCUGCUCUCUGAAGCAACCUUUCUCUUUCCCCUGGGAGAAAAAAGCCUCCAAGCAGGGUGUAGGAGAGGGCAGAGGGAAUGGCUGCCGAGGGCCCUAGGCCAGCCUUAUUUCUGUGCAGCGGGUUGAAUGGUGUCUCCCAUUCAUGUCCACCUGGAAACUCAGAAUGUGACCUUUUUUGGAAACAGGGUCUUUGCAAAUAUCAUUCAGCUUAGAAAGAGGAAGUUCGUGGGUUGCAAAGUGAGUAAUGGCUGCAUCUGGGAGCUGAUCAAAGGUGGCCAGCCAAGUUGAGUAGCCAGUUCGGUGUAUGAGACUUAACAACACUGGUUUCCCCGGCCAUGGAAGGAGUCUUGAGCAGAGUGUGAGAAUGGCCAGGUGGCGGAAGUGUCUGAGAAGAUCCUGCAUCGAUCCAGAAGCAGUGGGAUAAGGAAGGAGCACUGGAUGGAAGUCAGGUGUCCUGGGGCCCAGCGCUGGCCCUGCCACACAUGGUGUGAGCGCUGAACCCCUGUCCACCUAGCAAAGGUCACAUGAUGUCCUGGACCCCUGUCCUGUCCUGGACCCAUGUCCUGUCCUGGACCCAUGUCCUGUCCUGGACCCCCUGUCCACCCAGCAAAGGUCACAUGAUGUCCUGGACACCUGUCCUGUCCUGGACCCCUGUCCACCCAGCAAAGGUUACAUGAUGCUGUCUGUAAGCUUCUUUUUAUGGUUCUGAUAUCCAAAGCCACUUAAUAGCGUGGAACUUCCACUUCUCCAGUUUAAAAGGUUAAAUAUGUAUAUCAGGCUGGCUGGGCUCAGUGGCUCACGUCUAUAGUCCCAGCUACUGGGGAGGCUGAGGUGGGAGGAUCACUUAAGCCUGGGAGGCGGAGGUUGCAGUAAGCCAAGAUGGUGCCACUGCACUCCAGCCUGGGUGACAGCGAGCCCCUGUCUCAAAAACUGUAUAUGUAUAUAAGGGCCUACAUUUUUGGUUAGGGAGAGAAAGAGAAUGAAUAAGAAGCUGGUUCUUGUAUCUUGAGUCAUUACAAACUCCUCUCUCUCCCCCUGCCUGAGGCGUCCUCCUUCUUCAUUCUCUAUUCAGUUUGCAAGGCUGUUAUUCCUGCCAAAUGAGUCAUUGAUGUGGGAAAGUUAAUUUAUUUUGGCAGACAUCACCAUUGCUCCGAGAAAUAGAGACUAUGCACCCACUGUCGCAGAAGACACAAAUUAUCGUGGUGAUUCAUUCAUUCCUCCCUGCAUUCAUUCAUUCCCAGAAUACGUGAUUGUUUCUGGAACAUACACAAAUGGGCAACCCUACCUGUUGUUUUCUGUCUCAGAGAGUAGAUGUGAGAAUUAAAUGAGGUAAUAUGUAAAAGUGCUUAUAUAAUAAUAAUAAUAACUAAUCCUGAUUGAGCACGUAUUACGUGUCAAGCUGCGUGGUAAGCCUUUUACCUGCUUUAUUUAUUGUCUUUGAUCCUAACACUGCUCUGCAGGGCAGGGAUAAUGAGUACUUUAUUUCAGAGAUUCAGAGAUUGAAGCUAGGGCAGGUCAAGGUGACCUGGCCACAAGUCAUUAAACAGUGCACAAGUGGCAGAGGGAAGCCAGCCCUGAGUCUGGACUUGAAAAUAUUGCAUCAUGACCCAUAUUUAUAAGGUGGAAGCAGAACCCUGCUGCCCGUGUCUGGGUGGGCGAGAGACUGGGGAAACACGGCCAGGAAGCAGCCCGGCAGAUGGGGGCUGAGCGCACUGGCAGGGGCAGGAGGAGCUGCAGAUCUUUUCUCAGUUGAGCUUCAGAUGAGACCACAGCCCCAGCCAGCUUCUUAAGUGCAGCCUCAUAAGAAACCGUAAGCAGAGAACCAAGAUAAACCAUGCCUGAACUCCUGAUCCACAGAAACUGUGAAAUAACACAUCCCAGAGCCCCCUGCAUCUCCUGGGAGGACGAGGAUGGAUGGAAGCGUGCUGCCAACGCUGGGACACCUGCUUGCUUUCUGGGCAGUGGCCAGGAAAUCGCAUCUGCUGCCAGAAGAGAGCACCUGCACAUCCCGGAGAAGGGAAGGGGACAGAGCCGUGUGAUUCUAGCAGAGGAACACCCAUAGGAUUCCUUCUGUUGUUCCCAAGGUCCAGGCUCCCAGGCUGAGUAGGCAGGAAGGAGAAUGUGUCUUCACACAGGAAGCCUCACUGCCCAGAACAUGGGACAGAUCUAGCUGGAGCUGUGCUCAAACAGCUGUGGAGGCAUUAUAAAUCUCUCUCCCCGAGAUGAGGUUCAGAGGCUCUUGACAUGCCCUGCUAAUGGUAAAUCUUCCAGUGCCCACAGAGCAAGCCCUGGACUCUUAGAGCAUCAAGGUGAGACUGCCUGCCCCCCUUAAGCCUGUUAAUGGCAUCAGUGAUGUAUUCCCCUCCAAAUGUGGAAGGCUGCCUCUUUCUUCAUUGGAAGCAUCAAGGGAGUUUUAACUGUAAAACAGACUGUGCUUCAAAUCCCAUCUAAAUGCCUCAUCCUGAAGCUCUGACCUGCCACUUUUCUGCAAAUGACACUGGGUGAUUUGAAUGGGAUUAGAUUGGACAGUGGCCCCUGGCUGUUGUUUAAGUUUGUGUGGGUUUUGUUGUUUGUUUGUUUUAAUGCAACCUGUCUUUAAAUCUUCACUUUCAAAAAAAAAAAAAAGUGGUCAUUAGCCUUAUUUUUUAUUUAGAGGAUGUGAAGUCAGAAGUUCCCUUCCCUGAUUUAUUACCUCAUAGGUUUAUGACUUUGAAGAAUCAUUUCAUCUCUUUUAGUUUCCUCAUCUGUAGAAAGGUGAUUGUAAACUCUUUCUUAUCGGCUGGAUACAAAGAUGAAAUGAGAUAUCCU
rnacentral:lncRNA from 10 species